AUGUUGGCUUAGAAGCAGCCAUCAUUUAAAGAAAGCGUAAUAGCUCACUGGUCGAGUCGGCCUGCGCGGAAGAUGUAACGGGGCUAAACCAUGCACCGGGAUGUUGGCUUAGAAGCAGCCAUCUUUUAAAGAAAGCGUAACAGCUCACUGGUCUAAACAAGGGUCUUUGCGCCGAAAAUGUAACGGGGCUAAAGCCAUGCACCGAAGCUGAGGAUGUGCAGCAAUGCACGUGGUAGCGGAGCGUUCCGUAAGCCUGUGAAGGGGUAUCCGUGAGGAGCCCUGGAGGUAUCGGAAGUGCGAAUGUUGACAUGAGUAACGAUAAAGAGGGUGAGAGACCCUCUCGCCGAAAGACCAAGGGUUCCUGCUUAAAGUUAAUCUGAGCAGGGUUAGCCGGCCCCUAAGGCGAGGCGGAAACGCGUAGUCGAUGGGAACCACGUUAAUAUUCGUGGGCCUGGUGGUAGUGACGGAUUGUGUAAAUUGUUCAAUCUUAUUGGAUUGGUUGGGCGAAGAAGCGGUUCCAGGAAAUAGCUCCACUAAUUAUAGACCGUACCCGAAACCGACACAGGUGGUCAGGUAGAGUAUACCAAGGCGCUUGAGAGAACUAUGCUGAAGGAACUCGGCUCA
rnacentral:rRNA from 1 species